GUGCCUGAUCUGGCAGUACAUAUACUAAAAUUGGGAUGAUACAAAGAAGAUUAGCAUGGCCCCUGCAGAAGGAUGACAGGCAGAUUAGUGAAACGUUCCAUAUUUGU
ensembl:snRNA U6 U6 spliceosomal RNA